CAAUUUUCUGGGGACCGCUCAUGACUUCUAACAAGCUUGAUAACAGAAAUGUCAUGCAGAAUGCCAAGUCAUAAUUGAUUUGCUCCUGAAAUAUCACAGCCCAAGGAGAUCUUGUUAAAAGAAGCCUCAAGAGAUGUCUGUGAGUAGUUGCUGUACUUGAUGGAUGCUGUGCUGGAAGGUGUGAAGUUUCAAGUGGACCAAACACCGCCCUGUCGUGCGUGGCCUGGCUGAGUGACCACUGACUGGCUGGGUACCUCUGUGAUGACACCCUUCAGGGACUGGAAGUGAUGACACUGACAUCCACUCAGUGGGGCAUUGGGAGCACAUUCUGCAGCCACCAGACUGUGAUAUUGCCUAGAAUCACAUUGUGUGGAAAAGCCAUGGUUCUCACCUCCAGUGCCUUGCUGCUCCCUAGUGCUGCAUUGGAGGCUAAGAUGCUCACAAGCACAGCCCAUCCUGGUGGGACCAAGCAGUCUCACCAACAAUUUGCACGCUGGCACCUGGGCCCAGAUGGGGAAAGGAAGCUUUAAGGAUUGUUUCUGCAGAUGCAUUACUUAAGAACCCGUUGUUAUCUUAACAGCAGCCUCUAGGUCCAUCUGCCUGAGUUUGAAUCAAGUUCUUCAGGGUGGUUGAAGCUGUAGUGGGGUAGAGGCAGCAUUGUGAUUUACGCUGAUUAAGUUUCA
rnacentral:lncRNA from 1 species